AGGGUGCAAGCGUUGUCCGGAAUUAUUGGGCGUAAAGAGCUCGUAGGCGGUUUGUCGCGUCUGCUGUGAAAACUGGAGGCUCAACCUCCAGCCUGCAGUGGGUACGGGCAGACUAGAGUGCGGUAGGGGAGAUUGGAAUUCCUGGUGUAGCGGUGGAAUGCGCAGAUAUCAGGAGGAACACCGAUGGCGAAGGCAGAUCUCUGGGACGUAACCGACGCUGAGACGCGAAAGCGUGGGGAGCAAACAGG
rnacentral:rRNA from 1 species